CAAUCCCCAACAACUUGGCGCUAAAGCAAAUGUCCCUGGGUUCAGUCCUCAGCACCACAAACCCAAAAGGAAAAAGAAGCCAGCAAUGAAAAAGAAGAGCUCUAUAUCAACAUGGACGUGUACACUGAGUUUUUUUGAAGGUGGAAGAUGAGAUUUACAUGUCAUGGAUCAACCUGGAAGUCCAUUGAUUAAGGAAUGUGUCUGACACAGACAAGUGAUGACAGGAUUUCAAGACAUCCUGGCCAUCCUGGACCAGGCUGGCCUCACAUU
rnacentral:lncRNA from 1 species